AACAGCGGAGAUGAUUGUGAGAAUAGUCCUGAGGCUAGCUCUCCACGGAAAUGUAUCUACAACUUCUCUAAAAACAUCAGCUCCUCUGAUGCUGGGACUUAUUACUGUGCUGUGGCCACAUGUGGGGAGAUAUUAUUUGGAAAUGGAACAAAACUGGACAUUGAAGCACCUAAGAUGGGGGAUCAGCAGAAGGCCAUUGUAGUUCUGCUUCUGUUAGCUGCUGCUUUGGCUAUAAGUCUGAUUGUUAUUGCCUUCCUGAUUUAUACUAUCAAGAUGAAAACUUGUGAUAGUUGCAACGCUUCUGUUUUUCUGCAAACAAAUCCCGUACCAGCCAG